rnacentral:rRNA from 1 species
UGGGUUUAGGGAAAGGUUGGCGAAGGCGACUCUCUGGUCUGUAACUGACGCUGAGGAGCGAAAGCGUGGGGAGCGAACAGGCAUUAGAUACCCUGGUAGUCCACGCCGUAAACGAUGAGUGCUAAGUGUUAGGGGGUUUCCGCCCCUUAGUGCUGCAGCUAACGCAUUAAGCACUCCGCCUGGGGAGUACGGUCGCAAGACUGAAACUCAAAGGAAUUGACGGGGGCCCGCACAAGCGGUGGAGCAUGUGGUUUAAUUCGAAGCAACGCGAAGAACCUUACCAGGUCUUGACAUCCUCUGACAAUCCUAGAGAUAGGACGUCCCCUUCGGGGGCAGAGUGACAGGUGGUGCAUGGUUGUCGUCAGCUCGUGUCGUGAGAUGUUGGGUUAAGUCCCGCAACGAGCGCAACCCUUGAUCUUAGUUGCCAGCAUUCAGUUGGGCACUCUAAGGUGACUGCCGGUGACAAACCGGAGGAAGGUGGGGAUGACGUCAAAUCAUCAUGCCCCUUAUGACCUGGGCUACACACGUGCUACAAUGGACAGAACAAGGGCAGCGAAACCGCGAGGUUAAGCCAAUCCCACAAAUCUGUUCUCAUUUCGGAUCGCAGUCUGCAACUCGACUGCGUGAAAGCUGGAAUCGCUA